GAGAGAAGAUGGAGAUGGUGGCGGUUUUUCAUUGUGAUGGGAGUGGCGGUCGCUGGAUUUCUGUUUCCUAGCAGCAGGGCUUCACAACAGGAGCAACUGAUGGAGCCUCAGCCUGUGGUAUCCAGGAUUGCGUUUGGAUCAUGCGCUCACCAGGAUGCUCCUCAGCCAAUCUGGAACUCCAUAAUCAACUUCGACCCGCAUGUUUUCAUUUGGCUUGGUGAUAACAUCUAUGGAGACAUUAGG
rnacentral:misc_RNA from 1 species